rnacentral:tmRNA from 1 species
GGGGGUGAACGGUUUCGACUUUGGUAGUCGAAAUGGGAGAAGCGAGCCGAGAAUGUUGGUCAUCUCGUAAACGUCCAGCAAAAACAAUAAGUGCCAAAUCAAACCGCACUGAUUUCGCCCUAGCUGCAUAAGCUAGCCCCGAAAUCCGCGAGACCAGGGGCGUUCCCGCUCUGGAUCCUCGCGUCAUUUAGGGAACUUACCAACGGAACCGGUCGCGGGUUCUGAAGGGAAAUUUAACAGUGACUGUGCCUGUCGACAUCUUGUUUGCGUGAACGUCGGGGCAGAGAAAAACUAAUGCAAACUGCGCUCGGAGAAUAACCAAAUCUUCACCUAAGGACCCGGGUUCGAUUCCCGGCACCUCCACUA